CCCCCCCUCUCUCUCUCUUAUUUAUCUUCCACCUUUACCUUUUCAACCUAACCACCAUAGCCUCUCCUUUUUUAACUGGUUCUAUCAUAACCAGCAAAAAGAAAUGGUGAAUGCAUCACCUUCAGAUAUGAAAAAGGAAAAACUUGAAGAAAAGCACCAAUAAUCGAAACCGUAAAAACAAAAGCAUUCAACAAACAGAAAACAUACGCCGACAUAUCGGUAGGUACCCUAAUGAUUCAAAUGUUAUUAUCGAGAAGGCGAGAAGCCCUAAUAAUAUUAUCAGUGGAGAUAGCAUCGAGCUGGUCAUUUUCGAAGUUGCUAUCCUCUGCCAUUGAUGUUGCCAUCGUAUCUUCUAUCUUGUGUUUGUAUGAGAAUCCAGGGAGCAAAAUGGAAUUGUAGAGUCGAUCAGGGUAGCUUGUGCAAUCAAAAAGCUUUCUUGAAGAUUCUGUAAAUAUAUUUUAAUGUAUCUUGCUGUAUUUUAUUGUGUUCAUUGUGUUUUCAUUGUAUUUCAAUAUAUCUCGCUGUAUUCCAUGUAUUUUCUUGUCUCCCUGUAUUCUAUGAAUGUAUUCAUAUAUUUUUUUAAUUAAUACUCCAUCUGUUUUAAUUUAUGUGAAUCCAUCUGUAUUUCUCUUGCCUUUCUUUAAAUUAGAUAUGAUCAUGACGGUAAUGUUGUUUUAUAUAAUAGUAGAAUGAAUACAACAUUUUGUUAAAAAUACAUUUGCAGUGAGUCAUUGAAGCAUCGUUGCUUGUUAGAACUUGAAGUGAAGCUAGUAGUAUCAUCAACAUAGCAACCACACAGAAAAUCUUCUAACCGAAUAAAGUGUGAUUUGGCCACUUUGGAUCUCGUCAUGGCUGAAGUUUGAUCCACUUUAUUCGUACUCUUUUAGUCUGGUUGGUGUUAAUUGACAUGUUAUGAGAUAAUUCAUAAUAUUUUCUUAUGUUAAAAGAUAGUUGAGAGGCAUUUAGCUAUACUAUUUGUGUACUUUUAAUGUUUUUUUCAUUUGCAGUUGUGCUUAACUCUUGAAAAUCUGGAAUAUUUUUCUUUUUUAUGUAUAUUGAUCUUAUUUUUUUCUUUUUAGGAAAUUUAAAAUGGACAAGACUUGGAUGCGUUGUACUGAUAGAUUGAGCAAUGUAUUUUAAAAGGAGUUGAGGAUUUUCUUUAAUUUGCUUUUGAGCACACAUAACUAGAAUGUGAAAUUCCUUGUCCUUGUAAGAAAUGCAACAAUAUUUUCCAUAAGACUAGAGAUAAAGUCAGGGAACAUAUAAUAAUUUUUGGGAUAGUUAAGGGUACACUAGUUGGCUUUAUCAUGGAGAAUUUGCAUCUAAAGAGCAAAACACCGACAAUAAUGAAAUAAGACAAGUAGAAGUAAGAAAAAAGCAAGGUGAUGAUAUAUUUGAAAUGAUUUAUGAUGUUGCUGCCCCAAAUAACAUGGAUUAUUCUAGUGGGGUUAAGCACAAACAUGUUGAUACUUCAAAACCUGCUUCUGAAUUUUCUAAAUUGUUGGCGGAUGCUGCACAACAGCUUUAUCCUGGUUGCGAGCAACUCUCCAAAUUGUCACCAGUUGUGGAACUAUUCCAAAUUAAGUAUCUUUUUAGGUUGAGUGAUAAAGCAACUGAUAGCAUAAUGAAGUUAAUUAAGCGAGCACUUCCUUUUGGUAAAACUUUACCAGAAUCAUUUUAUGGACCAAAAAAAUUAAUUUGAAAUUUAGGCCUUCGUUAUGAAAAAUUAAAUGCUUGUGAAAGUGAUUGUAUGUUAUUUUGAAAACAUAAUACAAAAGUUGAAUCUUGCUUAGUUUGUGGUGAUAAGUGAAAAUUAAGUGAAGGUAAAAAAGCUAAUGAGGUUACUUCAGGGAAGAUUGAGAAAAAAGUUCCUCGAAAAGUUCUAUGUUACUUUCCCUUGAAACCAAGAUUGCAAAGGUUGUUUAUGUCAUCAAACAAAAAUAGCUUCAGAUAUGACAUGGCAUCAUAAUCAACAUUUGAAAGAUGGGGAUCUUAGACAUCCAGCUGACUGUGAUGCAUGGAAAUAUUUUGAUACAUCUAAUUCGGGAUUUUCUAGAGACCCUCAUAAUGUUAGACUUGGAUUAGCAUAUGACGGCAUAAAUCCUUUUGGUAAUUUAAGUGUUUCUCAUAGCACUUGUCCAAUGAUUCUUAAUGUAUAUAACUUAACCUCUUGGAUGUGAAUUAAGCGACCAUAUUGCUUCCUAUUUUUGUUGAUACCUGGUCCUAAAGUUCCUGGAAAUGACAUCGAUGCCUACUUAAAAUCUUUGAUAGAUGAAUUGAAAAAAUUGUGAUAUAAUGGAGUCAAUACAUAUGAUGCUUCAAGAAAAGAGAACUUUUGUAUGAAGGAUGCACUCAUGUGGACUAUAAAUAAUUUCCAGCAUAUGCAUACUUGUUUGGAUAGAGUACAAAAGGAGCUUUGGCUUGCCCUUCAUGCAAUAAAGAGACUCCAUCUGCUCGUCUAAGGUAUGGUCAUAAGUUACCUUACAUGGGUGCUUGUAGAUUUUUAUCAUGUAAUCAUAAGUGGCAGGAUAAUAAAUGUGACUUGAAUGAGAAAGUAGAAAAAAGUCCUCCUCCUGAACUUAUCUCUGGUGAUGAUAUUUUAAAUCAGUUCACCAGCUUGGAAGACAUUAAAUUUGGUAAGACCCAAAAGAAAUAAAGGCAUGGAAAGGGUAAAGUCACUCAUAACUGGAAGAAGAAAAAUAUCUUUUUCAGACUUCCUUAUUAAAAAAAUAAUUUAAUAUGUCAUAAUUUAGAUGUCACGCACAUUAAAAAAUAUGUGUGACAAUAUUAUUGAGACGGUAUUAUAUAUAGAAGGAAAAACAAACGAUAAUCUGAAUGCUCGUCGUGAUUUGAAGGAAAUGGGUAUAGGAAUAGAUUUGCAUCCAACUCAAAGAGAUGGAACAUGGUAUUAUCCAGCAACAUGCUAUACUUUUUCACCAGAUGAGAAGUCUAAAGUAUGCAAGUUUUUGAAAAAUAUUAAGGUUCUUGAUGGUUAUUCUUCGAAUCUAUCACGGAGCGCAAAGCUAAAGGAUCGUAAAAUUUAUGGACAGAAGAGUCAUGAUUCUCAUAUUCUUUUGGAAUAGUUGCUUCUUUUUGUAAUACGCGGAGCUGUACCGAGCAAUGUCUAUGCUGCUAUUACUGGGAUUAGUAUUUUCUUUAGAGAGUUAUGCUCGAAAACAAUAAGAGUUGAUGUGUUAGAUCAGCUUGCAAGUCAAAUUCCAAUAACAUUGAGCAAAUUAGAAAAAAAUAUUUCGACCAAUAUUUUUUGAUAUUAUGAUGCACUUGGUCAUUCAUCUUCCAAGAGAGGCUAAGAUUGAUGGACUUGUACAAUACAUAUGGAUGUACCCAAUAGAGCGGUACGCUUUUGCAUUUCAUAAUUUUAAUUUAUUGUAUUUAUUAAUUUAUCAUGCUAAGCGUUUUAACUGCCUAUUAUUAUUAUGAUCAUCAUGUAGGUUCUUGCGCAAGUUGAAAUGUUAUAUUCGUAAUAGAUGUCGACCUGUAGGAUCUAUUUCAGAACGAUAUAUUAUUUAAGAAAGUCUGAUAUUUUGUUUAAGGUAUUUACAUGGUAGUGGGAAAGAGAAUAAUUCAGUGAACAAAAAUUGUGAAAGUGGUCAGGUUGAGCCAUUCAGUAGAUUAUCAAUUUUUGAACAAAAUGAUUGCCCUUUAUUAGGAGAUACAUCCAGAAAUUUUAAAGAGCUUGAGCGAAUACAAGCUCAUCUUUAUGUUUUGAGAAAUUGUGAAGAAGUUCAACCAUUAUUACAGUAUGUUUCUUUAAUGCCAUUGUACAUUUCUGCCUGAUCUUGUUAGCCUUUUCUCAAUUAUUAUGGUAAUUUUAAACGGAAGGUACGAGAGUGCGUACGAAUAGAAUAAUAUUGAACAUGAACUUUGAUAAUUGGUUUUUCCAUCGAGUAUGUUUUUAUUACGUUGUUAAUUUUUAUUUGUAGUACUUCUUUAGUAUCAUUAUUUUAUUUAUUUAUUAUUACAAGAUUGUGCAAAUGCGCAAGAAAGAAAAUUUACAAGUAAGUUGCAAGUUGUAUUCUUUGGCUAGAGGUCCUUUUGAUGGAGUUCAAAGAAGGGUAUGAGAUAAAUGAUUUUAGAUUUUAUACUAAGCAACUCGAAGGAAACAGGGUGAAGCAAAAUAGUGGUGUUUUAAUAUGAGGAAUAAUUAAUGGCCAAAUAUAAAUUAUUAUGGUACUCAGAUCGAAAUAGUAGAACUUCAAUAUCUUGAAGGUAAACAGAUUGUUUUAUUUAAAUGUGAUUGGUUGGAUGCUGAUCACAUUGAAAAAGGAGUGAAGAUAGAUAAAUAUGGCUAUGUUAGUGUCAAUACUAAACGAAAGCUAGCUAUAAAUGAAUCAUUUGUUCUUGUAUCUCAAGCAGAACAAGUUUUUUAUGUCAAAGAUAAUCUUCAUCCCAAUUGGUCCAUUAUCGUGAAUGAUCAUUCUACUUAUUUUAUUGGUGGUGCUCUCAGUAAAAAACUUUUCAACACAAUGCUCAAGAGUUUUCGUGUAGAUUUGAGGAAGAUGAAGACUUUAUGAACCGGAGAAGAAAUGAUCUUGACGUUAUCAUCACUAAUGUUACCUUAGAUGAUGAUAUUGUUGAAGACAUCGAAUCAGAACCUGAAACUGAUGAUGAAGAUUUAUUACUGUAAAAUAUUUAGAAGUUUUAUAUGCAUAUUUGUUUAUUCUCAAGUAAUGUUAAAUUUUUACUUAUUUAUUUGAGAGACGGUGUUUAGUUCUUUAUUAUUUUAAAGAAUUUAUGUAGUACUUUAUUAUAUUGAUGAAUUACUCUAAUUGAAUAUGAGUUAAUAUUCAGUAGUAUUGACUUGAUAAUUUUAGUAAUAAUCUUUUCUACCAGGUGUUAUGUUGAUGGAUUCUCAGCGGAAACUAUGAUGAAUUUUUAAAUUAAUAAAUAAAUAUUGGUAAACAUAGUAUAGUUAUUUAUUGAAAUAGAUUCCAUUGAAGCUUAAACAUGGUUGCUAAAGUUGAAACGAUUGUUCUUUCUGUUGACAAAUUCUCGAUGCAUGACACCUGAUUUAGGAAUAGUUAUGCGAUUAUAAGAAUUUUAAUAAAUUUCAUAUCUGAAUUUAUAAACUCUAACAAAUUCAACCAAAGUCCCUUACGUUCAUUCCAACUAAUGAAUUAGUGACUAAACCUCUGUCUUCAUAUCCUUUAUAAUUUUAUUUCAUAAUUGUUGCAAGGCGUGUAAAAUGUUAGUCCUCUUUUUAUAGAUAUAAAUGUUUCUAUAUCUCUUAAUUAGGAAAAACCCAAUUAAGAAAUUAUCUAUUAUGAAGUUUUAUAAUUUUAGAUGCUCUUUGCGUGUCAAAAUUUUUAAUAAGUUUGUAAAGUAGAUUUUUCUUUGAGUUGUCUCGUGUAGGAUUUCCCUGAGCACAUAUAUCCCAGUAUAGCAAGACUAUUUUUUUAGCUAUGAAAUUAUGUACAAACAAAUGUAUCGCGGCUAGAAGAUUACAAUUGCUACAGCGACUUCAAAUGCAUAGUAAAACUUAGAAUUAACUACAAUAUUUAUUGUAGCUACAUAAAUUCGUGGCUAUAUUAUUUUUCCACGAUAUUAAUCGUAGCUAUUGAGCCAUUAUUGCUACAAUUUUACAACCUGAAGCAAAUAUAUUCGAUAUUUUAUUUGGCAUAAUUUAUUGUCGCUAAAUAUUUAUUGUUGCUACGAUAAAUUAAAUGCACGGUAAAAACUAACAAUUAGCUGCAAAAUUAUAAUGUAGCACUAAAUAUGUAGCUAUAGCUAUUUUCGCACUUAUUAUCAUGGUACUAACCAACUAUAGCAAAAAGUAGAAAUUAGCUCUACCAAUUUACUUUUUGUAGCUAAAACUUUUUACCAAAUUGUGAAUAGUAACGAAAUUUUAAUUUUUAUUGCUAUUGCUUAGAUAAUAGUCAUGCUUUUUUUAUUCGUAGUAAAGAAUUCGUAGCUGUAGAUGCUUAAUGUUGUAGUGUAAAUUGAGUAAUUUUAAAUAUAAAUUCAGACGAGAUUCUUUAAGUUGUUUUAAAUACAAUUUACAGAUUUAGAAACUAUAUAAAAAAUAUUAUAAGUAAUCAUAAUAGUUAAUAAUUUAAAAUAUUUAAAAACUAUAUGCAAUAAAUAUGAUCAAAUAAAACCUUAUUUGACUCCUCGUAUAAUAGUAUGUUUAUUCUUUUUUAAACGAAUAGAGUAUUUUAUACCAAAAUAUUAAUAUAAUUAUUUAAUGCACAUAGAAGGUGGAAUAAGCUAUAUAUCCUAGUUACAAUAGAAUUCUUCUCUUAAAUAUGUUUUCACGUUUUAUAAAAUAUGCUAUAUAUAUAUAUAUAUAUAUAUAUAUAUAUAUAGUCAGAUAGAAAUGAAAACGAAACAAAAAAUGAGUCCCUAACUGCUUCUCUGCUACAACACCUGGUAAUACUCGGGUUGCAUUCUUUACAUGCAAAAUAAUUAACUAAAACACGAGUAAUAAAUAGCUUAGAAUUUGGAGAGUAAAUUGCACACUGGAAAAAGCUAGAACUAUACAUUGAAUAUAUUGUAAUUUAUUUUUGACCCCUUUGUUAAGAAUUCACUGCUAGUUGAAUCUCCCCUUCUGUUAUUGGCAAGAAUCCUACUCGUUUCUGCAUUCCAUCACACAUAAGAAAAAUAUGUCAGAAAAAAAAAA
rnacentral:lncRNA from 1 species